rnacentral:misc_RNA from 1 species
AACGCACAUUGCGCCCCCUGGUAUUCCGGGGGGCAUGCCUGUCCGAGCGUCAUUACAACCCUCAAGCCUAGCUUGGUGUUGGGCUCCGCCGCCUGGCGGGCCCUAAAGUCAGUGGCGGUGCCGUCCGGCUCCGAGCGUAGUAACUUUUCUCGCUCUGGAGGCCUGGGCGCGUGCUUGCCAGCAACCCCCAAAUUUUAUCAGGUUGACCUCGGAUCAGGUAGGGAUACCCGCUGAACUUAA